rnacentral:rRNA from 1 species
GUUGCAAAAGAAGUAGGUAGCUUAACCUUCGGGGGGGCGCUUACCACUUUGUGAUUCAUGACUGGGGUGAAGUCGUAACAAGGUAACCGUAGGGGAACCUGCGGUUGGAUCACCUCCUUACCUUAAAGAAGC